ACUAAAACGCUUCACCCACCUCGCGUUUCUGUCGGGCUGGCGGAGAGGCGACGCGGGCGACGAGAGGCCGACGCGGGGGACGACGGUGGAAGACCACGCCGGCGCCGCCGCUGCCGCCGACGCUCCAAGACGACGCCGCCGCCGACGCUCCCUCACGCCGUCCCGCCGCAAGAGCAAGGCCGACGCUCCCGCGGUUCCGCCGACGUUCCUGCCGCCGCCGACCGAGAGCUCCUGCCGCCGCCCCUCUUCUCAUCUUAAGCUGGAGUCAUUUUAAGAAGAGGAAUUCUGAUGGAAUUGUGCAAGUGAUGGAGAGGAUGGUGCAAGUGCGUGAAAAGGAAGUCAGUCAAGAACAACCUCUACAGAAGUUCUCUAUUACCAUAUGCAUGGUGUGGCUACUUGUGCAGAUAGCCAAGUUAGCAUGAGGAAACAAGUCGCUUGGACUGAUUUUCUUCUCAUAAUAUUGAAGGGAACAAGCAUGCUUUUAAGAGGACUGUCCCGGGCCGAGUUGGUGCUUUAUUCAGCAUCUUGUAGUUUCAGUAUUUGCUCAGCACUAUAUGCCUAUCCACUUUGAAUUCCUCUAUUUGUUUCAUGUCUCCGAAAAGUAGAUUAUGAGAUCGGGAGUUAACUGUACCAUGCUUGUAGCUGUGAUGAUGAGAUGCUACUGUUUGCAUUUAUGUACUGGUUGCAAGAUAUGAUCUUCUAGUGUGCUACAAAGAUUUGGUUUUUAUUUAUGAUGCA